rnacentral:rRNA from 1 species
GACGAACGCUGGCGGCGUGCUUAACACAUGCAAGUCGAACGGAAAGGCCCUGCUUUUGUGGGGUGCUCGAGUGGCGAACGGGUGAGUAACACGUGAGUAACCUGCCCUUGACUUUGGGAUAACUUCAGGAAACUGGGGCUAAUACCGGAUAGGAGCUCCUGCUGCAUGGUGGGGGUUGGAAAGUUUCGGCGGUUGGGGAUGGACUCGCGGCUUAUCAGCUUGUUGGUGGGGGAGUGGCUUACCAAGGCUUUGACGGGUAGCCGGCCUGAGAGGGUGACCGGCGACAUGGGGACUGAGAUACGGCGCAGACUGGUACGGGAGGCAGCAGUGGGGAAUAUUGCACAAUGGGCGGAAGCCUGAUGCAGCAACGCCGCGGGCGGGAUGACGGCCUUCGGGUUGUAAACCGCUUUCGCCUGUGACGAAGCGUGAGUGACGGUAAUGGGUAAAGAAGCACCGGCUAACUACGUG